UAAAAAAAAUCUAACAUUUUUUAAACCUUUAAAAACAGAAAAUUCACUUUCUACAAUUCAAAGUAUGCACUGUGGAUAUAAGGUUUGUUUCCACAGACAUUCAUAACCUAGUUGCCAAUCCGUGAUUUAUUAACUACCCGAACAUCGACUGAUCAUAGAUUCUUAACACUGUUUGAACGCUUUUCUCCAAUCUCGGACUCCUACAGUCAAACCUUCUUUAUGGUUUUUAAGGUUGUAAACAUCGAAAUGUUUCAAAAUGUAAACGGAAUUAGAUAGGCCACCAGCUAGAACCGUUUUUGGCCAGAUAGGACUGGACGAUCCAAAAGCAAAGAAACGGAUGAGCACACGUCCAUUAGAACCGAUUCACUUGGUUGUGUUCGGCCAUGCACUUUCCAAUCCAAAUAAAGUUGAAUUUUCCAGUUCUAUUCUGCCAAAUUGUUACUGUGAAUUCAGCUGUCAACCACGUGACCUCAAACGCUCACCAUUGUUUACCUCUUCAUUUUGUUUUCAUUUCGAUGGAUUGUAAAAAAUUGAUAAGUGCUGUUGAGAACCAGCUGUCUUUGGGACAUGCAUGAUCCGCUCUAUCAUCGGAGAGAUGUCCACCGUAAGCUGUGGUAGAAAUGGGACUUCUCGUUUUAGUGGAGGAAGUGAAAAAGAAAAGAAUAUAACAAGGCGAUUGAACACAGAUCAGGGGAUGAAGGAGUUGACACAGGUGACUCAAUGGCCUUAUUUUGGGUAAAUUCUUUUUCUGAAAGAAGUGUUAUCACACAAAUUGCAAGGGAAUGUUUACCCAA